GAGAGUUUGAUUCUGGCUCAGGAUGAACGCUGGCGGCGUGCCUAACACAUGCAAGUCGAGCGAUCUUCUUCGGAAGAGAGCGGCGGACGGGUGAGUAACGCGUGGGUAACCUGCCUCAUACACAUGGAUAACAUACCGAAAGGUAUGCUAAUACAAGAUGAUAUAAGAGAUUCGCAUGGAUUUCUUAUCAAAGCUUUUGCGGUAUGAGAUGGACCCGCGUCUGAUUAGCUAGUUGGUAAGGUAACGGCUUACCAAGGCGACGAUCAGUAGCCGACCUGAGAGGUUGAACGGCCACAUUGGGACUGAGACACGGCCCAGACUCCUACGGGAGGCAGCAGUGGGGAAUAUUGCGCAAUGGGGGAAACCCUGACGCAGCAACGCCGCGUUGAAGAAGUCUUCGGAUUGUAAAAAUCUUUUAUCAAGGACGAAGAUAGUGACGUACUUGAUGAAUAAGCUCCGGCUAACUACGUUGCCCACAGCCGCGGUAAUACGUUAGGAGCAAGCGU
rnacentral:rRNA from 1 species